rnacentral:rRNA from 1 species
ACUCCUACGGGAAGCAGCAGUAGGGAAUCUUCCACAAUGGACGAAAGUCUGAUGGAGCAACGCCGCGUGAGUGAAGAAGGGUUUCGGCUCGUAAAACUCUGUUGUUAAAGAAGAACAUAUCUGAGAGUAACUGUUCAGGUAUUGACGGUAUUUAACCAGAAAGCCACGGCUAACUACGUGCCAGCAGCCGCGGUAAUACGUAGGUGGCAAGCGUUGUCCGGAUUUAUUGGGCGUAAAGCGAGCGCAGGCGGUUUUUAAGUCUGAUGUGAAAGCCUUCGGCUCAACCGAAGAAGUGCAUCGGAAACUGGGAAACUUGAGUGCAGAAGAGGACAGUGGAACUCCAUGUGUAGCGGUGAAAUGCGUAGAUAUAUGGAAGAACACCAGUGGCGAAGGCGGCUGUCUGGUCUGUAACUGACGCUGAGGCUCGAAAGUAUGGGUAGCAAACAGGAUUAGAUACCCUGGUAGGAUAGCG